rnacentral:rRNA from 1 species
GUGCCAGCAGCCGCGGUAACACGUAGGGGGCGAGCGUUACCCGGAUUUACUGGGCGUAAAGGGCGCGUAGGCGGCUUGGCAAGUCUCCUGUGAAAGCUUCCGGCUUAACUGGGAGAGGUUGGGGGAAACUGCUGAGCGAGAGGGAGGCAGAGGAGAGUAGAAUUCCCGGUGUAGCGGUGAAAUGCGUAGAUAUCGGGAGGAAUACCAGUGGCGAAAGCGGCUCUCUGGGCCAUUCCUGACGCUGAGGCGCGAAAGCGUGGGUAGCAAACCGGAUUAGAUACCCGGGUAGUCCACGCCCUAAACGUUGGAUGCUGGGUAUGGUGGGUAUCGACCCCCUCCGUGCCGAAGUUAACGCGUUAAGCAUCCCGCCUGGGAAGUACGGCCGCAAGGCUAAAACUCAAAGAAAUUGACGG